GAUGAACGCUAGCUACAGGCUUAACACAUGCAAGUCGAGGGGCAGCAUGGUCUUAGCUUGCUAAGGCCGAUGGCGACCGGCGCACGGGUGAGUAACGCGUAUCCAACCUGCCUUACACUCUUGGACAGCCUUCUGAAAGGGAGAUUAAUACAAGAUGUUAUCAUGAGUAAGCAUUUUCGCAUGAUUAAAGGUUUACCGGUGUAAGAUGGGGAUGCGUUCCAUUAGAUAGUAGGCGGGGUAACGGCCCACCUAGUCUUCGAUGGAUAGGGGUUCUGAGGGGAAGGUCCCCCACAUUGGAACUGAGACACGGUCCAAACUCCUACGGGAGGCAGCAGUGAGGAAUAUUGGUCAAUGGACGAGAGUCUGAACCAGCCAAGUAGCGUGAAGGAUGAAGGUUCUAUGGAUUGUAAACUUCUUUUAUACGGGAAUAAACGGAUCCACGUGUGGAUUUUUGCAUGUACCGUAUGAAUAAGGAUCGGCUAACUCCGUGCCAGCAGCCGCGGUAAUACGGAGGAUCCGAGCGUUAUCCGGAUUUAUUGGGUUUAAAGGGAGCGUAGAUGGGUUGUUAAGUCAGUUGUGAAAGUUUGCGGCUCAACCGUAAAAUUGCAAUUGAUACUGGCAGUCUUGAGUACAGUUGAGGUAGGCGGAAUUCGUGGUGUAGCGGUGAAAUGCUUAGAUAUCACGAAGAACUCCGAUUGCGAAGGCAGCUUACUAACCUGUAACUGACAUUGAUGCUCGAAAGUGUGGGUAUCAAACAGGAUUAGAUACCCUGGUAGUCCACACGGUAAACGAUGAAUACUCGCUGUAGGCGAUAUACAGUCUGCGGCCAAGCGAAAGCAUUAAGUAUUCCACCUGGGGAGUACGCCGGCAACGGUGAAACUCAAAGGAAUUGACGGGGGCCCGCACAAGCGGAGGAACAUGUGGUUUAAUUCGAUGAUACGCGAGGAACCUUACCCGGGCUUAAAUUGCAACCGAAUAUGGCGGAAACGCUAUAGCUAGCAAUAGCGGUUGUGAAGGUGCUGCAUGGUUGUCGUCAGCUCGUGCCGUGAGGUGUCGGCUUAAGUGCCAUAACGAGCGCAACCCUUGCCGAUAGUUACUAACAGGUCAUGCUGAGGACUCUGUCGGGACUGCCAUCGUAAGAUGUGAGGAAGGUGGGGAUGACGUCAAAUCAGCACGGCCCUUACGUCCGGGGCUACACACGUGUUACAAUGGGGGGUACAGAGGGCUGCUACCACGCAAGUGGACGCCAAUCCCAAAAACCUCUCUCAGUUCGGAUUGAAGUCUGCAACCCGACUUCAUGAAGCUGGAUUCGCUAGUAAUCGCGCAUCAGCCACGGCGCGGUGAAUACGUUCCCGGGCCUUGUACACACCGCCCGUCAAGCCAUGGGAGCCGGGGGUACCUGAAGUGCGUAACCGCAAGGAGCGCCCUAGGGUA
rnacentral:rRNA from 1 species